rnacentral:rRNA from 1 species
GGUCAUUUAGAGGAAGUAAAAGUCGUAACAAGGUUUCCGUAGGUGAACCUGCGGAAGGAUCAUUAAUGAAACUUCAAAGUCGGCCAAAGGUUGUUGCUGGUGAUUAUUCACAUGUGCACGCCUUUGGUCGCAAAUCCACACACACCUGUGCAUCUAUGACUCGAGGUUGUAAUGACUGAGAGUAACUUUUAUACACUCUUGUAUGUAAUGGAAUGUCUUUUUGUGCUAUAAUGUACAAUAUAAACAACUUUCAACAACGGAUCUCUUGGCUCUCGCAUCGAUGAAGAACGCAGCGAAAUGCGAUAAGUAAUGUGAAUUGCAGAAUUCAGUGAAUCAUCGAAUCUUUGAACGCACCUUGCACCCUUUGGUAUUCCGAAGGGUACGCCCGUUUGAGUGUCAUUGUAAUCUCACUUCUACAACUUUAUUGUUGUUUGAAUGUGGACUUGGAUGUUGCCGUUUUAUCACGGCUUGUCUUAAAUGCCUGAGUGUACCCUGUUUUGCAGCGUAUCCAGUGUAAUAAACAUUUCACUAGAGUUGGUCGAAAGACCGCGUUGACUAUAUGGGCUCUAUGCUUCAAACCGUCUGCCAUGUGGACAAUUUCUUGACAAUUUGACCUCAAAUCGGGUGGGACUACCCGCUGAACUUAAGCAUAUCAAUAAGCGGAGGAAAAGAAACUAACAAGGAUUCCCCUAGUAACGGCGAGUGAAGAGGGAAAAGCUCAAAUUUUAAAUCUGGUGUCUUUGACUCCCGAGUUGUAAUCUAGAGAAGUGUUUUCCGUGUCGGACCGUGUACAAGUUCCCUGGAACGGGGCGUCAUAGAGGGUGAGAAUCCCGUAUAUGCCACGGACUACCGAUGCUCUGUGAUACACUCUCAACGAGUCGAGUUGUUUGGGAAUGCAGCUCAAAAUGGGUGGUAAAUUCCAUCUAAAGCUAAAUAUUGGCGAGAGACCGAUAGCGAACAAGUACCGUGAGGGAAAGAUGAAAAGCACUUUGGAAAGAGAGUGAAACAGUACGUGAAAUUGUUGAAAGGGAAGCGUUUGAAGUCAGUCGCAUCUGUUGGGGUUCAGCCUGGCUUUUGCCUGGUGUAUUUCCUUUCCGAUGGGUCAGCAUCAGUUUCGACCGAGGGAAAAAGACAUUUGGAAUGUGGCUGUCUUCGGGCAGUGUUAUAGCCUUGUGUUGUAUGUCUCGGUUGGGACUGAGGAUUGCAGCGCGCCAUAAAUGGCCGGGGGUCGCUCCUCUCGACACGCGCUUAGGAUGCUGGCAUAAUGGCUUUAAGCGACCCGUCUUG